rnacentral:rRNA from 1 species
CCUACGUGUGGCAGCAGUGGGGAAUAUUGGACAAUGGGCGAAAGCCUGAUCCAGCCAUGCCGCGUGUGUGAAGAAGGCCUUCGGGUUGUAAAGCACUUUCAGUGGGGAAGAAAGCCUUGGGGCUAAUACCCUCGAGGAAGGACAUCACCCACAGAAGAAGCACCGGCUAACUCCGUGCCAGCAGCCGCGGUAAUACGGAGGGUGCGAGCGUUAAUCGGAAUUACUGGGCGUAAAGCGCGCGUAGGCGGUCUGAUAAGCCGGUUGUGAAAGCCCCGGGCUCAACCUGGGAACGGCAUCCGGAACUGUCAGGCUAGAGUGCAGGAGAGGAAGGUAGAAUUCCCGGUGUAGCGGUGAAAUGCGUAGAGAUCGGAAGGAAUACCAGUGGCGAAGGCGGCCUUCUGGACUGACACUGACGCUGAGGUGCGAAAGCGUGGGUAGCAAACAGGAUUAGAUACCCAGGUAGUC